ensembl:snoRNA
CCUCCUUUUCUAGUUGGGGUUUGGUAUGUAGUCCCAGUCUCCCUAAUGUACAGAGUCAGAGGGAAAAGCCUCUAGCCUCCUCGCUGUCGUGUCUUUGUUGCCUGGGGCUUCCAGCCUAAGGGUUAUAUCUUCAAGUGCAGGAGCACUG